GCGAGGAAGAUCGAAAGGCGGCAGCGCGAAAACCAUACGAAACAUUUUGGAGCGAAGUCAGCCGCGGCAGCACCGCCCCCCCCGAAAAGCAGGGGCGACGCCUCCGCCGCCGCCGCGCCGGCCGUCUUCCGCCGCCGCCGCACCGGCCGCGCCGCCGGUCCCAUUCCUCUCUUCCUGGCUCCGGCUCUUCGCAUCGGUUCGUCGCGCACAGGAUAUCGAGUUCGACGCGCCCGCGGGCGGGGCUCGUAGCGCUAGGCGGUGGCUUCCGGUUCGAUCGGCGCCCUCCCGCCUGGCGUUUUCCUCCGCGCUUGCAUUGUCGGCUUGUCUUGGCCGAGGCCCCCGAGGACUCGAGGCGGAGGCGCGACGCGAUCGGGCGAUUGGAAGAAGCGCGUCGUCGUGGUUAGCUUGUCCAGGGGAGUACAGGUGCUUGUCAGUCAUUGCUGCACAUUCCAUGCGGAUAGCCAAAAAGGGAAUCAGUUGGUGGUCUUUGAUUAUGCCAUGAUGGUGUUGCGUGUUGCUUAGUCUGCCACUUGAAUGAUACAGACUAUCUGGCAAAAAUUUGCUGAUGAAUUUCCUAAUUAUUCACAACGGGCUACUGAUGGAUGCAUCUUGGAUACUUUGAAAAGGUAUCUUGCAGGGAAGUCGUCAAUGAGCUCAAGGAUCGGGAAUCAACUGAUGCUUUGCUAAUUUUUAGCAACGAUGGCAUGAAAUACACUUUCUGUUGGGGUCAUUUAAUGUUGAAGGCAUGUAUUCAUGUGGCUUGCAUUUGACACUCGACUUCGAUUCAAAGUGAAGUAUUUGGUGCAAGCAACUGAUUACCCAAGUAUUAUUACCUUGGCAGAUUAGCAGCCAAGGUUGCGGAAGAUAUAGUAGAAAAGUGCUGAGGAGGAUCCAAUGUAAUAUGUGGGUGAGGCUAUGGAAGAGCAGAUAAGUGCUUGGGGUCUGGAGAAUCUUACAUAGUAGGUGUUUUUGAGUGUUGGAAAUCAAAACCCGUCUUGAUUGAGUAUGGUUAUCAAGUGGCCCGGGGGCACUCGUUAACAAGAUAGAAGUUUGGCUAGCUGUGCUUUUAUCAACCGGCAUUUGACGAUAUUGUUUGCUGGUUGAGACAGGAGAUGGAAAAUGCGGUGGUAUGUCAAUCUUGAGCUUCAGAAUUUUACUUUUGCAGGUGAACAGGAAAUCGAUGAUGAUGAUAUUGAUGGAAUCAUUACUUACCUCUCCAGAAGCAAUAUUGAAUUUCCUCAGUGGACAGGCCUAGAAGACAUAAUUGCUCGAAGUUCCAAAGUAUACGGUCCGUCUUCUCAAACUCCAAAUAGAAUCUCUAGGAACACAUAUUGGAUUGAUGCUUGAUUCAUGAUCUGCGAACAUCUGCAUGAUGAAGGGUAUCUAUAAAUGCAUUGCUUGAAUGUCAGCAAAUUACCUUUUCCACACAUUGCAUCUUGCUUAUAGGAAGAGCUAAUAAGGUCAGAAAAAUGUAUUAUCUCAUGCUAAAAACGUUGGAAGGAAUGUAUUAUCUCACCAGAAGUGUCCCUCUGACAGUUUGUGAAUUUUCUUCUCGAAUACUAUUGCAUGAAAAGCAUGUCUUCUCCUCACACAGGUUUCCUGUCUUUUGAUGUUCACAACCUUCUUGAGAUUGUUGGACUGAGUUGGCAGUUUCACCUGUCGUGUGUUAUCUUGGAAUUGUAAGAUUUAAGAUAGAACAAUCAACUUCUCAGGAAGAAUGACUUGCAUUUAGUCUAUUUCAUGUGGCCUAAUUUCUAUGGUAAUGGGCAGUCACAUGCAGAUAACUCAUUGUUUUGCUUAAAGCUGUACACUUACCUGGUGUCCAUAUAGCGAGAAGGUAAGGGCUUGGGUCAUCCAGUUCUCUCUUUUCCAGCUGUCGAUAUAUAGAGUUGCUAGUCAGAAGUGAUGCCUUGUAUGCAUAUAUUUAUAGUCUAUAUAAAGUCACAGAGAGAAGUUUUCUCAAAAAACAGGAAACAAACCCCUUGUAGGAGAGGAUGAUCAUCAGGAAGUUCGUAUCUGCAACAUAUAAAGGCAGUGAACCUUAGAGGUUUUCGUGGAAAGAACCCAGCAAAGAACUUAGAAGAGAAGAUAAAUGUGUCUUUUCAUCAGAGGAUUCUUCGAUAAAGUUUGGUAGUUCCUCUUUGUUCCAGUAAAUCGAACAAGUUUUGAGACUUUGGGAUAAGAGUCUUUAUUCAAAUGCAGGUAGUUAUAAGUUCUAAUGUUCCAUCUUCCAGUAGCCAUUAUUUCCCACUUGUUCACAAUAUAUAUCUCAUGCAUCAUGAUUAAGUAUGGUUAUAAGAGUCUUUACAAUCAUAAAUAAGAUUUUGUCCCAUGCUUUUUAAUAGUACAUUGAGAAGAAUUUGACUUACACUUGGUGCUCCGUCCGUAGUCUGCUCACAUUCUUGAGUUUUCGAGCUGGAAUAGAAGCAGCUUCUGGAUUCAGAGCAACUAAGGCCUUGGACAUAUCAGCUUCCUGGAGUUCCAUGUUGUUCGCUUGCAUAAAUUGCUGAAGGUUUUCAGUGAACUCUUGGAUAUUCAAUUUGAUGGUGGGGAUUUCUUCAUCACCAUCCUUCAAUGCAUCCUCAAUGUCACUUUCCAAUGCUACUGCACGCUCUUCCUCUGGAGUGGCUGGCUCUUCAAUGAUGGGUUCACAAUUACGAACUUGAAACGCUUCUUCAUGUGAGUAGGGUGGAGGUAGGGACAUGAGAUUGAUGACUGUUGGGGGCUUGCUUUCAGCCAAAGGAACUGUUGAAGAAACAAGAUUCUUCUCUUCUGGUGCUGGAAGGGCAAGUCUCGCACUACAAAGGACAGUAGGCCAAAGGAUUUACAGUUCCAAGAGGUGCAAUUGCAGUGACUCUGGCAGUGGUUGAAGAGGCACCCAUCCAAGUCGAACUGCUAUACGUCCUACAUUGGUGUCCACCUGCGGAAGAUGAUAAACAAAGC